rnacentral:rRNA from 1 species
AUUGAACGCUGGCGGCAUGCUUUACACAUGCAAGUCGAACGGCAGCGCGGGGCAACCUGGCGGCGUGUGGCGAACGGGUGAGUAAUAUAUCGGAACGUACCCAGAAGUGGGGGAUAACGUAGCGACAGUUACGCUAAUACCGCAUACGAUCUACGGAUGAAAGUAGGGGACCGCAAGGCCUUAUGCUUUUGGAGCGGCCGAUAUCUGAUUAGCUAGUUGGUGAGGUAAAGGCUCACCAAGGCGACGAUCAGUAGCUGGUCUGAGAGGACGACCAGCCACACUGGAACUGAGACACGGUCCAGACUCCUACGGGAGGCAGCAGUGGGGAAUUUUGGACAAUGGGCGCAAGCCUGAUCCAGCAAUGCCGCGUGAGUGACGAAGGCCUUCGGGUUGUAAAGCUCUUUUGUCAGGGAAGAAACGGUAGAGGCUAAUAUCCUUUGCUAAUGACGGUACCUGAAGAAUAAGCACCGGCUAACUACGUG